GGGGAGUACGCCGUNUGGUUAAACUCAAAUGAAUUAACGGGGGCCCGCACANGCGGUGGAGCAUGUGNNUUAAUUCGNUGCAACGCGAAGAACCUUACAUACUCUUGACAUCCAGAGAACUUAGCAGGGAUGCUUUGGUGCCUUCGGGAACUCUGAGACAGGUGCUGCAUGGCUGUCGUCAGCUCGUGUUGUGAAAUGUUGGGUUAAGUCCCGCAACGAGCGCAACCCUUAUCCUUUGUUGCCAGCGAUUCGGUCGGGAACUCAAAGGAGACUGCCAGUGAUAAACUGGAGGAAGGUGGGGAUGACGUCAAGUCAUCAUGGCCCUUACGAGUAGGGCUACACACGUGCUACAAUGGCAUAUACAAAGAGAAGCGACCUCGCGAGAGCAAGCGGACCUCAUAAAGUAUGUCGUAGUCCGGAUUGGAGUCUGCAACUCGACUCCAUGAAGUCGGAAUCGCUAGUAAUCGUGGAUCAGAAUGCCACGGUGAAUACGUUCCCGGGCCUUGUACACACCGCCCGUCACACCAUGGGAGUGGGUUGCAAAAGAAGUAGGUAGCUUNCUU
rnacentral:rRNA from 1 species